AUUGAACGCUGGCGGCAGGCCUAACACAUGCAAGUCGAGCGGAUGAGAGGAGCUUGCUCCUCGAUUCAGCGGCGGACGGGUGAGUAAUGCCUAGGAAUCUGCCUAGUAGUGGGGGACAACGUUUCGAAAGGAACGCUAAUACCGCAUACGUCCUACGGGAGAAAGUGGGGGAUCUUCGGACCUCACGCUAUUAGAUGAGCCUAGGUCGGAUUAGCUAGUUGGUAGGGUAAAGGCCUACCAAGGCGACGAUCCGUAACUGGUCUGAGAGGAUGAUCAGUCACACUGGAACUGAGACACGGUCCAGACUCCUACGGGAGGCAGCAGUGGGGAAUAUUGGACAAUGGGCGAAAGCCUGAUCCAGCCAUGCCGCGUGUGUGAAGAAGGCCCUCGGGUCGUAAAGCACUUUAAGUUGGGAGGAAGGGCUUACAGCGAAUACCUGUGAGUUUUGACGUUACCGACAGAAUAAGCACCGGCUAACUUCGUGCCAGCCGCCGCCGUAACAC
rnacentral:rRNA from 1 species